CGAACGGACAGGGUUUCCCCGGUACCGCGGACAGAGUCUCCCCUGUACAUUCAAGGCGUCGCAAUCAAUACAAUGUAUAAAGUUCCAACCAGGAACACAUUUCAAUCAAGGAUUGCAUAAGGAAGUAUCAAAAACAUAAUCUACUUGCUAUUACAAGCAUUCACAUUCACUAGAUACAUUUUACAUCACAAUUACUUAUUACAUUUAACUUCCAAAUACAAUCUAGCUUUUAUUACGAAUUAUUACAACUUGAUUCUUUUCAUUUUCUUACAUCCCUAAGUAAAGGCCGACUCAGGGUACCGCUAUCUCUGGUCUCAGUGGUAGGGCGCUAACUAUGAAGAUACGCCCUCGCCUCGCGCCGCCGCGCCGCUCACGUGUGAACCUGUAAUACCCCAAAACCACGUGGGGUGAGAACCAACUCCAUGGUUCCCAGUGGGUACGGCCACCCAAGGGAAAAGCUCG
rnacentral:lncRNA from 1 species